rnacentral:lncRNA from 1 species
GGGUUUUAGGUUGAAGAUGGAUGAAUAUUGAGUUGAUGAAGAUGAAGAUAGAUAAAAAUUGGGUUGAAGAGAUGAAUGAAACAAUUUUUUUUUCUCAUUUUUGUUUUAUUCCCUAACAAAAUUAAUUAAAAUAAUUUAUUUAUGAUGAUUCAUCAAAACCUUGCCUAGUCAGGCUCUCUUGAACACGGUGUCAGCCAAACCAUAUGUCACAGUCUAAUAUAAUGACAAGAUUAAUGAGGGACGAAAAUCAAUGGGUUUAAAUUUUACAGGAUAAAACAGACGUUUUUUUUUCUUCAAGGACUAGAACUUAAAAAAUUCGCUAAUAUUUGAAGGAUUAAAAACACAUUUUGCACUUUCUAUUUUUUGCCCCUAUCUGUCAUGAAAUGCUAUAGAAAAAUAAUAAUAUAAUGUUUCCCUAUUGCUAUUGAGCUAGCUAAAUAGGCAAAUUGAUUACAACAACACAUUUUAUAAUUAUAAUUAUUAAUUAUAAAAUGGUUUAUUGAAGAUCUAUAAGUGCCAAAAAUAUUUAUUUAAACAAAUAAACAAAACUCAGAACUUUUACAACAUAAACUGAUCAAUAAAUUGCUAUCUAUAGCAAGGUUUGUAAAAAAAAUUAUGGCUGAAAAUAUUAAGUUUGUUUAUUUAACAUUCUUUUUUAUUUCCUUGUUUCUUGUUGUAACUGACGUUAG